rnacentral:rRNA from 1 species
AGUGGAUGGGGUGCAACCUAGUUGUGCGUGUGUAAAGGUAGUGCCAAGAAAAGCGAUGAUCAUGUUGAAAAUCAAUUCCCGGUACCCGAAACCGACACAGGUGGGCAAGUAGAGAAUACUAAGGGGCGCGAGGUAACUCUCUCCAAGGAACUCGGCAAAAUGACCCCGUAACUUAGGGAGAAGGGGUGCCACCGAGAGGUGGUCGCAGUGAAGAGGCCCAGGCGACUGUUUAGCAAAAACAUAGGUCUCUGCAAACUCGAAAGAGGAGGUAUAGGGGCUGACGCCUGCCCAGUGCCGGAAGGUUAAAGAAGUUGGUCAGUUUUAGGAUGAAGCUAGCGACUGAAGCCCCGGUGAACGGCGGCCGUAACUAUAACGGUCCUAAGGUAGCGAAAUUCCUUGUCGGGUAAGUUCCGACCCGCACGAAAGGCGUAACGAUCUGGGCGCUGUCUCGGAGAGAGGCUCGGCGAAAUAGGAUUUUCUGUGAAGAUACGGACUACCUGCAUUUGGACAGAAAGACCCUAUGAAGCUUUACUAUAGCUUGGAAUUGUGUUCGGGCUUCCUGUGCGCAGGAUAGGUGGGAGGCGUAGAAGGUAUUCUUGUGGGGAUACUGGAGCCAACGGUGAGAUACCACUCUCAGGAGGCUAGAAUUCUAACUUAAUUAAGGACAGUUUCAGGUGGGUAGUUUGACUGGGGCGGUCGCCUCCAAAAAGGUAACGGAGGCGUACAAAGGUUCCCUCAGACUGGUUGGAAAUCAGUCGAAGAGUGCAAAGGCAGAAGGGAGCUUGACUGCGAGAAGUACAGUUCGAGCAGGGUGGAAACACGGUCUUAGUGAUCCGACGGUGCUGUGUGGAAGGGCCGUCGCUCAACGGAUAAAAGUUACUCUAGGAUAACAGGCUGAUCUCCCCCAAGAGUUCACAUCGACGGGGAGGUUUGGCACCUCGAUGUCGGCUCAUCGCAACCUGGGGCGGAAGUACGUCCCAAGGGUUGGGCUGUUCGCCCAUUAAAGCGGUACGUGAGCUGGGUUCAGAACGUCGUGAGACAGUUCGGUCCAUAUCCGAUGUAGGCGUGAGAAUAUUGAGAGGAGCCUUCCUUAGUACGAGAGGACCGGGAAGGACGCACCGCUGGUGUACCUGUUAUGAUGCCAAUUGUAAACGCAGGGUAGCCAAGUGCGGAGAGGAUAACCGCUGAAAGCAUCUAAGUGGGAAGCCCACCUCAAGAUGAGUAUUCUGGUGUAAGGUCACGGGAAGACGACCCGUAAAUAGGCACGAGGUGGAAGUGCAGAGAUGUAUGAAGCCGAAGUGUACUAAUAGACCGUCGGCUUGACC